AACGCUAGCUACAGGCUUAACACAUGCAAGUCGAGGGGCAUCGGUAAUAAGUUUCGGCUUAUUUUGUCGGCGACCGGCGAAUGGGUGAGUAACACGUAUCCAACCUGGCAGUUACUAGAGGAUAGCCCUGCGAAAGUAGAAUUAAUACUCUAUGUAUUGAAUUAGAGGCAUCUUUUUUUCAAUAAAGAUUUAUCGGUAACUGAUGGGGAUGCGUCUGAUUAGUUAGUUGGUGUGGUAACGGCUCACCAAGGCUAUGAUCAGUAGGGGUUCUGAGAGGAAGGUCCCCCACAUUGGAACUGAGACACGGUCCAAACUCCUACGGGAGGCAGCAGUGAGGAAUAUUGGUCAAUGGGCGAGAGCCUGAACCAGCCAAGUAGCGUGCAGGAUGACGGCCCUAUGGGUUGUAAACUGCUUUUAUACAGGAAUAAAGUUAGCCACGUGUGGUUAUUUGUAGGUACUGUAUGAAUAAGGACCGGCUAAUUCCGUGCCAGCAGCCGCGGUAAUACGGAAGGUCCAGGCGUUAUCCGGAUUUAUUGGGUUUAAAGGGAGCGUAGGCCGUCUGUUAAGCGUGUUGUGAAAUGUAGACGCUCAACAUCUGAAUUGCAGCGCGAACUGGCAGACUUGAGUGUGCGCAACGUAGGCGGAAUUCGUGGUGUAGCGGUGAAAUGCUUAGAUAUCACGAAGAACUCCGAUUG
rnacentral:rRNA from 1 species